rnacentral:tRNA from 1 species
GGCGAUGUAGUUCAGCGGUUAGAACAAUGGAAUCAUAAUCCAUGUGUCGUAGGUUCAAAUCCUGCCCUCGCUA